UUCCUAUCCAUUCAAAUUGGGUCGGUAUCCAUUGGGUUUGGAUAAAAUUGCCAUCCUUGGAAGCAUUUGUGAUAUCAAAUGCUAAAAGAUGCUAUGGAGUUUGGCUGAUAAAAAGGUGUGGUUCACUCAUGGAAAGUGGGUAUGAUCUAAGGUAUCGUUGUUUAAUUUUCCUCGUUUAAACUGGUAUAGCUAAUCGUGUUGCUGCCAUCUAAAUUAUGAUUACCUUCCACAGAAAGUGAAGCCUCUCUGUUCCCUUUCUUUUUGAGAAAAUAGAGAGAAAAAAAUCUUGCUCUCAAGGAGAUAACUUGCAUUGAUUAUUUGAAAGGGAAUUUGAAGUCAUGCUACGUAGUGCAGAGAUUAAAUCAUGAUACUAAGGUGCCUCUGCUUCAUUUCUGCAUGAUAAUUUGUGUACAGAGAUGUAUGGACUGUUUUUUUUCUUCCUUGUUUUGGCCAACAGUGCACACCAGGAAUAGAAAUUUAUUACAGCAGUACACAUCAAUUAAAAUAAUGAUCAAUCAAUAAAUUUUGCUAA